CCUACGGGAGGCAGCAGUGAGGAAUAUUGGUCAAUGGACGAAAGUCUGAACCAGCCAUGCCGCGUGCAGGAUGACGGCUCUAUGAGUUGUAAACUGCUGUUGUAUGAGGGUAAGCACCGCUACGUGGAGGGGCUUGAAAGUAUAAUACGAAUAAGGAGCGGCUAACUCCGUGCCAGCAGCCGCGGUAAUACGGAGGGUCCAAGCGUUAUCCGGAUUUAUUGGGUUUACAGGGUGCGUAGGCGGUUUGAUAAGGUAGAGGUGAACUACCGGUGCUCAACACCGGAACUGCCUCUCAUACUGUUGAUCUAGAGUGUAGUUGCGUUAGGCGGCAUGUCUGGUGUAGCGGU
rnacentral:rRNA from 1 species